GUUUUUCAGGCUCAGAUGUUUCCUAAGUGAUGCUAAACCCUGGAACAGCUGUGUUGAAGUAAACAACGGUGGCCCUGAGGACCAAAACACUUCACUAACACAUAUGACACUUCAGGUUUUGCCAAGGUUGGGACAACACUUGGGGUUGUGGGUAGGUGUGCUUAGCACAAUGAGACGGCGUGACGGUCAAAAAUGUAUCAUCUGAUCAUCUUCACAGCCCCUCUGCCCUGGUUACCCAUCAUCCUCUUCACUCCCAUUAGGUGAAGCUGAGUGGGACCGGCUCCUCAGUGAGGGUCCUCAUCAAAUCACAGCAAUUCUCCGUCAAUCUCAAACUAAAGGUGACGUCCAGUUAUCAGAGUCAAAGGGCAGAAGAUGGACCGUCUUCCACAGGUCACCCUGAUAAUCCUUCAUUUCUUUAUCAGUCAGUGCAGAGGUCCCUUUGCGUUUUUUCAAUUCACACUCAAGGACAUUUCUCACAUUUUUCAGAAUGUAAAGUGACUUGGGGCCCAAAAUGAAAAGGUUAUAAUUUUUAAAUAAAUCCUGAAA